CCCUUAGAUGUUCUGGGCUGCACGCGCGCUACACUGAUGCACUCAACGAGUUUACGACCUUGCCCGAUAGGGUUGGGUAAUCUUUUUAAAAUGCAUCGUGAUGGGGAUAGAUUAUUGCAAUUAUUAAUCUUCAACGAGGAAUGCCUAGUAAACGCAAGUCAUCAGCUUGCAUUGAUUACGUCCCUGCCCUUUGUACACACCGCCCGUCGCUCCUACCGAUUGAAUGUUCCGAUGAAUACCAUGGACUGAGAGUAUGAAUGGGUUCGCCUAUUUCUGCUUCUCGGGAAGUGGAGUAAAUCUUAACAUUUAGAGGAAGGAGAAGUCGUAACA
rnacentral:rRNA from 1 species